UGAGGUUUUGGCUUAGUGGUACAGCUCUUGCCUAGCACGUACGAAGCCCUGGGUUCAAUCCUCAGCACCACAU
rnacentral:tRNA from 1 species